GCCAGCAGCCAUAUCACCCUGCAACUCACAACUGGCAACCCACUGAAGCAGGUGUGAGCCUGGUCAGUACCUGGAUGGGAGACCUCCUGGGAAAAACUAAGGUGUUAGUAGGGU
rnacentral:rRNA from 1 species